rnacentral:piRNA from 1 species
UGAUGAGACGAAGUUGACGCUGCAUGGA